rnacentral:lncRNA from 1 species
CAGAGAGGAACUGCAGCCACUGCAGAUCUCCUGCCAUUAUUCACUGCAGAGACUGCAUGCCAGAGGAGUGGCUACAUAUACACACCAAACUCACACUUCAUAACAGGGAGUCCUGCAUUGAGGGAGUUUACAAGCCCAUUGAGCCAACGCUGUGCUGUGCAAAAGAAGAUGGCAGAUAUACACUGGUCAAGCAAGUACGUCUAUUGCCUACAGUGAGACCUGUCCAGUUAUGCACAUGUGACCCUACAAACAUCACAGAAUCAGCUGGCAGAGCAGUAAUUUUGGUUUGCAUAAAUGGAUGAUAUGACUUUCAUUUGCCAAACCUGCUGUGCAAAGUACUUCUGGCACAGUGGACACCAGAUAAAAGCGACCUCAUAAGCAGUGGGUAUUGGCCAGCAUCUGUGAAUGCUGAGACCUUGUUUUCGGUGGAUGUCUUCAAUUCAUUUGAAGAAAUGAAAACUGUUGCACCCAGUCUGUCAAGACAAGGCUUUUUGCAGAUGUUGGAGAGAAGGACUCGUCACUUUGGAAGGGUAAGAUCAGUGUGGAUCAAAGUAGGGAUAGAAGAAUUUAAGCUAUUUUAGCUUUUGAAUU